GGUUGUGUAGUGUAGCGGUUAUCACUCCGGAUUCUGAUGUUUCAAAAUUCCGGCAACCCCGGUUCGAUUCCGGGCACGACCU